rnacentral:rRNA from 1 species
AAAGGGCACGUAGGCGGUUAAUUAAGUUGAUUGUGAAAUCCCUGGGCUCAACCUAGGAAUGGCAUUCAAGACUGGUUAGCUAGAGUUUUGUAGAGGGGGGUAGAAUUCCACGUGUAGCGGUGAAAUGCGUAGAGAUGUGGAGGAAUACCGGUGGCGAAGGCGGCUCCCUGGACAGAGACUGACGCUGAGGUGCGAAAGCGUGGGGAGCAAACAGGAUUAGAUACCCCAGU